GAACGCGAAGAACCUUACCAAAUCUUGACAUCCUUUGACCGCUCUAGAGAUAGAGUCUUCCCCUUCGGGGGACAAAGUGACAGGUGGUGCAUGGUUGUCGUCAGCUCGUGUCGUGAGAUGUUGGGUUAAGUCCCGCAACGAGCGCAACCCUUAAGCUUAGUUGCCAUCAUUAAGUUGGGCACUCUAAGUUGACUGCCGGUGACAAACCGGAGGAAGGUGGGGAUGACGUCAAAUCAUCAUGCCCCUUAUGAUUUGGGCUACACACGUGCUACAAUGGACAAUACAAAGGGCAGCUAAACCGCGAGGUCAAGCAAAUCCCAUAAAGUUGUUCUCAGUUCGGAUUGUAGUCUGCAACUCGACUACAUGAAGCUGGAAUCGCUAGUAAUCGUAGAUCAGCAUGCUACGGUGAAUACGUUCCCGGGUCUUGUACACACC
rnacentral:rRNA from 1 species